rnacentral:rRNA from 1 species
GUGGGGAAUAUUGGACAAUGGGCGCAAGCCUGAUCCAGCCAUGCCGCGUGAGUGACGAAGGCCUUAGGGUUGUAAAGCUCUUUUGGCGGGGACGAUAAUGACGGUACCCGCAGAAUAAGCCCCGGCUAACUUCGUGCCAGCAGCCGCGGUAAUACGAAGGGGGCUAGCGUUGUUCGGAAUCACUGGGCGUAAAGCGCACGUAGGCGGAUUUGUUAGUCAGGGGUGAAAUCCCGGGGCUCAACCUCGGAACUGCCUUUGAUACUGCAAGUCUCGAGUCCGGAAGAGGUGAGUGGAAUUCCUAGUGUAGAGGUGAAAUUCGUAGAUAUUAGGAAGAACACCAGUGGCGAAGGCGGCUCACUGGUCCGGUACUGACGCUGAGGUGCGAAAGCGUGGGGAGCAAACAGGAUUAGAAACCCCAGUAGUCC